rnacentral:rRNA from 1 species
AACAACUCACCUGCCGAAGCAACUAGCCCUGAAAAUGGAUGGCGCUCUAGCGUCGUGCCUAUACCGGGCCGUCAACGGCAAAGUGGGCUAGUGUCCCGUCGGCGAAAGCCGGCGGGCUUGGCCGUUAAGCCUUGACGAGUAGGAGGCGCGCGGCGGUGUGCGCAGAAGGGUCUGGGCGCGAGCCUGCCUGGAGCCGCCGUCGGUGCAGAUCUUGGUGGUAGUAGCAAAUACUCUAGCGAGGGCCUGGAGGGCUGAUGUGGAGAAGGGUUUCUUGUGAACAGCCGUUGCACAAGAGUCAGUCGACCCUAAGCCCUAGGAGAAAUCCGAUGUUGAUGGGCAGCGAUCAAGCGGCUGGUUAACGGCGCGUAAAAACGCCGCCGGCUUGCCGACUGCUCCCGUCGGGCGAAAGGGAAUCCGGUUCCUAUUCCGGAACCCGGCUGCGGAACCGUAACUUCGCGGGCACUCGCCUGCGAGCGCUCGUCGGGGUAACCCAAAAUGACCCGGAGACGCCGGCGGGAGGUCUGGAAAGAGUUGUCUUUUCUUUAUAAGCGUUCGAGUUCCCUGGAAUCCUAUAGCAGGGAGAUAGGGUUUGGAACGCGAAGAGCACCGCAGUUGCGGCGGUGUCCGGACCUUCCCCCCGGACCUUGAAAAUCCGGGUGAGGGCUACGCGGAAAUGUCGCGCCGGCUCGUACCCAUAUCCGCAGCAGGUCUCCAAGGUUAAGAGCCUCUAGUCGAUAGAAUAAUGUAGGUAAGGGAAGUCGGC